UGGAGAACAGUAAGUUUUAUGGGCAAAAGAGCUUAUUGACAUCUUUCAGGAAGCAGCUUCUGCUUGUGUGGAAGGCACACUGUCUGUCUCAUUGAGCCCUUCGCUCCUGAAGAAAGGGCCAUCCAAGGAAAGCUGGACUUCUGAUGCCUCCGUGAGCAGAGUGCUUAGGCCCACCCAGGCCCAAUAGUGGACACCCCUUGGGAAUAGUCAACGCAAUGGUUGUUCAAGUGUGCGAUGGACCACAAAGCUCACGUGUGGGAAUCUGGAACUGUCUACAGUAAAAAGGACACACUGGGUGCUGGGAUGUGUUUACUCCUGCGUCUUUUCAUCUGCAUGGGACUCGCAUAGAUCAUGUGACUGGGAGGCAGGCUGGCACUUCACUGACUGAGCCAUCUUCCCUGAUUAUUAAUGCUAACCAAGAACCCAGUGUAAAGGAGUUGUUCCGCAAAUGUUCACUGAGCAAACACCCUUCGCUGCAUUCCAUUCCGCUGCUACAGACAGAACACCAAGGCUGGGAAGAAGCCACCAAGUUUCUAAGUGGCAGGUAGCCACUGGAGCUCAGAUGGUAUUUCAGUGAACUUCCAGGAUCAUUGUGAGUGCUUGCCCUCUCUGUGUUCUCCCAAAAGACAGUGGCCAUAUUUGGGGGUAGUCGAGACAAUAGGCUAGGCCUUGGUAAUAGAAACAUCUAUGUCAGAGCUUUGGGUCAGGUACACCGGACACAGCUGUUUGUGCAGCACCCGCCCCCUGCCUUACACUUAUGGUCACCAAGCUCCCCCCAUGUCUCCCCUCCUCCUUGCUCCUUUGAUCCUUAUGAACUCUCAGAGAAAGUGCCCAGUGAAGGGUUCUUGAGGCCAAGCAAAUCCAGGAACAAAGACCUACUCCUCCAGGGAAGUACUUCUGAGACUUUAGACCAUCCUAAGUAUGAGAAGUUGCCUGUAGCCAGAGAGCCCUCUCUGGCUUAUCACAUGUCCUUAUCCCACAGUUGGGCAACCGGAACUUUUCAAAGCCACUUAUCUGAAGGACAUAGAGCUGGGGCUAAAAGCUCCCAGUGUCAAAUCUGAAACUGGAAACCAUGGUCACUUUCCAUCGUGGGCCUAUCCUAUUCUAUCAAAGAAUGUGUCCCUGAGUCAAAUUUCUCUUGAAGAACUUCUCUUGGGCAAGUCUGCUUUAGCCACCAGCCAGCUGCCAUCCCGUGUGCUGGGUUCCCUGGAAUAGCCCACCUGUGGUUUUCUUCAUGUGAUAGGAGAGUUGGAAGGUAUUCCCCAAGCUUCCCUUUAGAAAAGGUUUCGGAUAAUAAUUAGCUUUCACAAAAUAAGUGUCUAUAUAAGGUGGUGGUCAGGUGGAUGCUCUCUGUCUAGAAUGCCUAACAGCGGCUGUCACUGUGCAAUGGUACUCAUCUUCCAGGCCUGAGUGGCAAUGCAGAUAUCAGUUCUCUAGAGAUGAGGAUUCAAAGCCAAGCCAUUCUCCAUCUCUGCCCUAGGCUGGUUGGAGGGCUUAGAAACUGUUCUCCCAAUUAUAAGACUUAGACCCUUCCAGGUACAGCAAUUCCCGAGGCCUGGCCUGGAUUGUUCUCCUUUGGUCCCUCUAUUGAUUUUGUAAAUAAAUUCCCUGCAGUGGAGACUUUGCUGACUAACAUA